GACGGAGGGUGCUAGCGUUGUUCGGAAUCACUGGGCGUAAAGGGCGCGUAGGCGGCUCUGGCAGUCGGUUGGUGAAAGCCCGGGGCUCAACCCCGGAGGUGCGGCCGAAACACCAGGGCUGGAGGCCGGAAGAGGAGGGUGGAAUACCCAGUGUAGAGGUGAAAUUCGUAGAUAUUGGGUGGAACACCGGUGGCGAAAGCGGCUCUCUGGUCCGGACCUGACGCUGAGGCGCGAAAGCGUGGGGAGCAAACAGG
rnacentral:rRNA from 1 species